UAUGUAUGAAGUGAAAUAAGAUGG
rnacentral:siRNA from 1 species